rnacentral:rRNA from 1 species
CCACCGCGGUUAGACGAGAGGCCUAAGUUGAUAGCCACCGGCGUAAAGAGUGGUUAAGAAAAACUAUAACUAAAGCCGAAUACUUUCAAAGCUGUUAUACGCACCCGAAAGUAAGAAGUACUACUACGAAAGUGGCUUUAACACAUCUGACCCCACGAAAGCUGUGAAACAAACUGGGAUUAGAUACCCCACUAUGCACAGCCCUAAACUUUGAUAAGACAAUUACAUCUUAUCCGCCAGGGUACUACGAGCUCUAGCUUAAAAUCCAAAGGACUUGGCGGUGCUUUAGACCCACCUAGAGGAGCCUGUUCUAGAACCGACAACCCCCGUUCAACCUCACCCUCCCUUGUUUAUCCCGCCUAUAUACCGCCGUCGUCAGCUUACCCUGUGAAGGACUUAUAGUAAGCAAAAACAGUACAACUCAAAACGCCAGGUCGAGGUGUAGCGCAUGAGAGGGGAAGAAAUGGGCUACAUUCCCUAACUAAGGGUAUACGAAAAGUAUAAUGAAAAAAGUAUUAGAAGGAGGAUUUAGCAGUAAGUAAAAAAUAGAGUGUUUUACUGAAACUGGCCCUGAAGCGCGCACACACCGCCCGUCACUCUCCCCAGAUAUAUAAAUUUAAUUACCUAAAAAACUUGACAAAUAAAGGGGAGGUAAGUCGUAACAUG